rnacentral:misc_RNA from 1 species
AUGUGACACAACAUUUCAGGUACACAUUUGUUAAUGAAAGAGUGAAGAGAAGUGCAAGAUACUAUUCACCAGGAUGGAGAACUUGGGCAGCUGUAGCAAUUCAGUUGGCUUGGAGGAGGUAUAAGCACCGUUUGACGCUUACUUCGUUGUCAUUUAUCAGGCCAAGAAGACCUUUAUCUCGGUGCUCUUCCUUGGGGGAGGAUAGGCUCAGGCUUUAUACAGCUUUGUUAACUUCACCAAAGCCAAAUCAGGAUGAUUUGGACUUCUGAAAGCGACC